GGUUCGAUCAUGGCUCAGAUUGAACGCUGGCGGGAUGCUUUUACAUGCAAGUCGAACGGCAGCACGGACUUCGGUCUGGUGGCGAGUGGCGAACAGGUGAAGUAAUGUAUCGGAACGUGCACACAAGUAGCGGGGGAUAACUACGCAGAAAGCGUAGCUAAUACAUACGCCCUUGAGAAAAGCGGGGGACCUUCGGGCCUCGCACUAUUAAACGGCCGAUAUCCGGAUUAGCUAGUUGGUGGGGUAACGGCUCACCAAGGCGACGAUCCGUAGCUGGUUUGAGAGGACGACCAGCCACACUGGGACGAGACACGGCCCCGAACUCCACCGGGAGGCAGCAGUGGGGAAUUUUUUGGACAAUGGAAACCCUGAUCCCGGCAUCACGUGUUGAUGAAGGCCUUGGGUUGUAAAACGCACUUUGGCAGGAAAGAAACGGCGCAGGAUGUAUGCACCCCGUGCAACCAGAAAGCAACACCUGCAGAAUAAGCACCAGCUAACUACGUGCCAGCAGCCCGCGGUAAUACGUAGGGUGCAAGCGUUAAUCAGAAUUACUGGGCGUAAAGCGUGCGCAGGCGGUUCGGAAGAAAAGAUGUGAAAUCGAAGCGCUUUGGAACUGCAUUUUAACUACCGAGCUAGAGUGUGUCAGGGGAGGUGGAAUUCCGCGUGUAGCAGUGAAAUGCGUAGAUAUGCGGAGGAACACCGAUGGCGAGGCAGCCUCCUGGGAUAACACUGACGCUCAUGCGAAAGCGUGGGGAGCAAACGGGAUUAGAUGCCCUGGUAGUCCACGCCCUAAACGAUAUCCAACUAGCUGUUGGGGCCUUCGGGCCUUCGCCUUCCGUGCGCGUGAAGUUGACCGCCUGGGGAAUUACGGUCGCAAGAUUAAAACUCAAAGGAAUUGACGGGGACCCGCACAAGCGGUGGAUGAUGGAUUAAUUCGAUGCAACGCGAAAAACCUUACCUACCCUUGACAUGUCUGGAAUCCGAAGAGAUUUGGGAGUGCUCGCAAGAGAACCGGAACACAGGUGCUGCAUGGCUGUGGUCAGCUCGUGUCGUGAGAUGUUGGGUUAAGUCCGCAACGAGAGCGCAUCCCUUAUCGUGGUUGCUACGAAGGGCACUCUAAUGAGACUGCCAGUGACAAACCGGAGGAAGAUGCCGAGGACGUCAAGUCCUCCGCUAAGCCCGCCUGUGGGCCAGGGCUUCACACGUCAUGCAAUGGUCGGGACAGAGGGUCGCCAACCCGCGAGGGGGAGCCAAUCCCAGAAACCCGAUCGUAGUCCGGAUCAUGAUCUGCAACUCGACUAGAAGUCAGAAUCGCUAGUAAUCGCGGAUCAGCAUGUCGCGGUGAAUACGUUCCCGGGUCUUGUACACACCGCCCGUCACACCAUGGGAGUGGGUUUACCAAGUAGUUAGCCUAACCGUAAGGGCGAUUACCACGGUAGGAUUCUUGGCUGGGGUGGAAGUCGUAACAAGGUAA
rnacentral:rRNA from 1 species